rnacentral:misc_RNA from 1 species
AAGUCGUAACGGUUUCCGUAGGUGAACCUGCGGAAGGAUCAUUAACACGUAUCCAACCGUGAUGCGUUAUCCUUACUCAGUGGAUCCUUCUGCACUGCUUAGGGAAACCAUGCCACUGCUCCUAGCUCGAUUGUAACUUUUGGACAGAGGUCCCGAAUCAAAACUUUCCGCCCACUGAUUUACCGGGAUUGCUGUUCCGCCUGGUUACAAGAGCGUUGCCAGAGGUCGAUCACCGGCCGGCAGACAUGUCACAGGGCUAUAUGCCCCUUCAUUCACACCUUGCUCUCUCAUGCCCGCCGGAAACGCCGGGCACAAAAACCGAACAACUGUUAACAAUGGAUAUCUUGGUUCUC